rnacentral:lncRNA from 1 species
CGCUCGUUAUACUAGCUUUGGCGGGCGUGCUUUCGCCAAAAGAUCGCUAUGCAGAAGACUGUCAUUCGUUUUGUCGACGGUGCGAGAUGGAGUACUUUUGACGCAGUCAGCGUUUGGUGCCGUCAGCUUCUGGCGCCCCGGUGCAAACGCUCAGCCGCUGCGUCGCUUCAGGUGACCGUCCCUGAUUCGCUCACGUACGCGCUGAAUCAUGCGGCGCUGUCCACGGGGCAGUCGCGAGAGCUGCUUGCCUAUUCUCGCAGUCGUGUGGCACAUUCCUCGGCGUGAAUGCUAUAGUCCAUUGUGAUGCGUUACAGGCAAUUAAGCACGCGUCACGGCACGGUUCCUCACGCGGAUCGGUUAUUAGUAUUAGCGUUAAUGUGUGUGCGGCCAAAAUCUUUAGCAACGUGGGUUUCCCCGCAGCUUUUCAGUUGCGGUGCUUCAAAAGCCCCUUUCUGCCAAAGACUCACGGCUGCGCCGGGUGCCGACGACCAUCUCUUUCUCACUCACACUGCAGCACUUGAUGAGCGUACAACCGCGGGCUCUUUAUCUCUGUAUGUGUCGCAUCGCUAUAUCUCUACUUGCUGCGUUGAUGCCACUGCU